GAUGAACGCUGGCGGCGUGCCUAAUACAUGCAAGUCGAGCGACGCGGGGACGGGUGACGAACCCGUGGAUAACCUCCUAUAAGACUGGGCUCAUUUCGGGAAACUGGCGCUAAACCGGAUCCUUCUCGAUGUAUCCCUGCUGCAUUAGCUAGUUGGUAAGUUAACGGCUUACAAAGGAGACGAUGCAUAGCCGACCUGAGAGGCUGAUCGGCCACAUGGGAACUGAGACACGGUCCAGACUCCUACGGGAGGCAGCAGUAGGGAAUCUUCCACAAUGGGCGAAAGCCUGACGGAGCAACGCCGCGUGAGUGAUGAAGGUCUUCGGAUCGUAAAACUCUGUUAUUAGGGAAGCGGUACCUAAACAGAAAGCCACGGCUAACUACGUGCCAGCAGCCGCGGUAAUUC
rnacentral:rRNA from 1 species